AUCCUUAUUUUUGAGGCCUAAGUGGUUUGAAUCCUAUUUUCAUUGCUAAGUGUUGGAAUUUUUUAAGUUUUACAAAUUAAAUAUUUGAUAAAAAUAUUGAUAAUGCAGGUAAGCCCUGAAGCAUAUUAAAUACACGAGAGCCCACCAGUCCAUUGAAGAAGUGGAAUAUUUCAGUACCAUAGCGUCUGUUGUUUCCCUAUCCCAUUCCCCUGCCUUCCGUCCUGAGGUGCCCGUGGCCUAGGAAUGUAUGUCCAGUCUCUCGGUUUUUUGAAGUGGGUGAGAUAGAUAGCAGUUUUAUUAUACAUUAUUUAUCCCUAAACAUUCUUUUUCUUGUUUUAUGCUUCACACUAAUGGGACUUUGCAUGUAGUUGUCAGUAGUUCCCAUGAAUCUUAUAUUAAACUGAAAUUUCCCAAGUUGGAAUUAAUCAUAACCAAUACUUUGUCUUCCUAAUAUUGAUUAUGUGAAAUAUUUCAGCAUUUCAGGACUUGAAAAUGAUAAAUUGUUUUGCAAGGUCCAGCAUUUGAUGUGUCCUCAUAAAUCAUUUUCAGUAGCUGCCUAGUUCAAUGACUUUCCCUCCUGGGGAGCUGUAGGACAUGAUCUGUGCCCCUGGCCAUGCCCUUUGCAGUCCUUAAAUGUGCUUUCAGGCAGCUUGGGACAGUCAUUCCACAGGACUGUGUCCAAUAAUGAUGCCAACAUAAUGUAUCUCGGCUGUAAANUCGGGCGGCCUCCGUCCGUUGCCCGCGAGGUCGGCCCCGGAGGCAGCCUCCCCGGCCUCCAGUGGACGCGGCCGCGAGCUUUCCUCCUGGCUGCCUGCGCAGUCGCGUUUUGUGCACCAGAGCCUAUGAAUUUUGAAGAUGAAUGAAGGUCAUGAUAAAUGUUUUCCAAAAACUUGAGAUAGAGGAUGGCUUUGAAAAAACCACUAGGAGCACAACAACAUGUAUAAGGUACCAAGUUAAUAUUAAAUUGUGUGCUUUUUAAAAUGUAUUUGUGGUAUUCUUGAAAAGCAGUACCAAAAAUUAAUACAUUUUUACAUAGAUAGGUUUAAUAACUGGCACAAUGAUGACUUAACUUUUUGCCGUUUACCCAGCUGAGGGUUUCUUUGAAGACAUAAUUUUAAGACUGAGAUGCCAGUAAUCUAUAUUGAUUAUGUGAAUUAUUCAAAUAUAAUGUGGUUUUUUAAUUAAAAUGAGUGAAAUAUUCUUUUCAGUUUAUAGGUAGCUGCAGAUGAAUGUCAAAGUCCUUAGCUGUGCUGUUGAAAAAUCCUUCAUUGCCUCAAGUAAUUAUGAUUUAUGAAGCAACUACAUCUACUUAUAAUUCACAGGUAUCUGAUAAACUCCAAAGGGCUGGGGCCAUUUCCUGUUAAAGUUGCCUUUGUGUGUCAGGGUAUGAUUUUCUUUGAGUUUGAGUAUGGAAUGAUUUUCACUGUUGGUUUCUUUUUGUUUUUCUGAGGUUACCACAUUUUGGAAGGAAAAAAUGAAGAAUUGGUCAAGACGACAUGAAAUGAUGAAAAUUAGUAUUUUAUUUAACAUUGAUCACCUCACAGUAAAUUAUAUAGGAAAAUAAAUGUUUGACUACUUUUGAUUGCUGGGCA
rnacentral:lncRNA from 1 species